GCGCGCUAUAGUGAAGCGGAGGUGCGCCAACGAGGGGAGGUAAAGGGGUAGGUGCGUAGCGUUAUUUGUCUAUGUUUUUAAAACUAUGUCUUACUGUAAACCAAACACUUAGAAUACAGCUAACAUAUAAUGCGAGAGGCUGGAUAUCGACUAACAGCCUAGUUUUAGAGGCUUGUUUCGCAAGUUUAGCCAGCGCGGUCACGUGGUGUGGAAAACAGGAAACUUUUUGUUACUUUGAUUUGAUAACCAGCGACGUAACGUCAGCGCUGUUCUGUAGCGCGAACGGUCUUGUUAGAUUAUGCUAAAUUUAUAUCGCCCUUCAUUUCUAGUAUCCUCUUCGUUUGCGUAACCGAGUCGUAUCACUGUGUUGAUUAAAAGGAAAUGUGAGCUGCUAAAAUUGUCGUUUACGGUUUACUAGUUAUGCUUCCUUUAUCAUACUCACCUGGCGAAUAGUAACAGUGAGUUGUCCAAAAUGAAAUAAGAGCCGAUGAAAAAGGUCAGCCAGUAUAUAUUGUAACUACCCGCAUUACUGAGAGUUCAAGCGGGGAAUUCAUUUGUUUAUAAAUAGUUGCAUUCUGGGAAAAAUGAGUAUAAGGUAAGUGUUCAACCGCUGGGGGGACUUACAGGUCCUCGGACCGAGAGCGUAGUAUUUGGUGCUGUGCCGGUGUUUAUAUGAAUGAUAGUGCUAUUGCUGUGAUGUUUGAUUUCGUGAAUAAAGAUUUUAAUUUAAAAAAAAAAAAAAAAAAAAAGACAGGAACUCGUUAAUGGGAGUAUUUAAGCAUAAAUAAGUUGUUUUGAUUUUGAUACAUGUUUGUUUGCAAAUCCAAAUUCUUAUAUUGAAAGCUUAUAGACAGUGAUACCCCUCGGCUUUGUCGUCGGUAAAUUCUGUGAAAACCUCGGAUGAACUUACUGUUGAUAACUGCUUGUCCUAGGCAGGGUCGUGGUGGUCCGGAGUCUUUCGUUUUUGCUUCUGCAGACAUCUGUCGUUAUUCUGAAGACAUGGCAUGCUUCGAAUUACACGGUCCAUGUCAACGCGCUAUUUCUACACCGCAUGUAAAAUCUGACCUUUACCGUACCUUUCGUCCAAUGUUACUAGAUCCAAGAUGUGUGACCGCCUUCCGUGAGAAUGUCGACUGUGACGACAUGAAAAAUGAUUGUAUAGAUACUAAGGAAACGAAAUCAUGUUAUGGGUUCCCCAACAAUUUCAGAGAGUUUCACAGAACCCGUUUAAAGAAAAGGGCCUCUCCGUCACGUCACAGAAAUGAACCCGGAGCGGUUACUUCUAAGGUAAGAAUGUACUGCUCCACUUCUCAUAAAUGAGCUUUCAUUUUUUUUUUGUUUCUGGAUUUUUAAAUGUCUGGAAAGAGAUACAGGAAAACAGCC
rnacentral:lncRNA from 1 species